AUGGAUGAGGUCACACAAGCCGUUGAAAACUUGAAAAAGGAAUGGAGCCAAGCAGUUGCACAGCUUGAGGUGUGCAUUGCUGCAAUUGAAUCUUGUGGGAAGAUGAUGGGAAAAGGAACAGAAGAAGCAAUGUCUCUUCCUAGGUUGAACGGUUCUGCACAGGAUGCACUGCAAUUGCUCAAUGCACUACAGUGCAGGUUUGAUCUUCUGGCAGAGCAGCUACCCACUUUUGAAGAAGUUCAGUCUGGACAGGCAACCCUAGGCUCAUGGAAGGAACAAUAUCAGAGGCUGCGUGUGAGCCUGAGGAGUGCUAACUUACAAGCAAAAACGAACAUUGCAAAGGCUGCUCAAGAAGAGAGGGAGCUUCUUCUCGGAGGUGGAGAAGAGUCCACUAUCCGGAGCCGUAAUCUCCAGUAA
rnacentral:rRNA from 1 species